UUCCGGUUGAUCCUGCCGGACCUGACUGCUAUCGGAUUGAUACUAAGCCAUGCUAGUCUUUGUAGUAAUACAAGGCAUACGGCUCAGUAACGCGUAGUCAACCUACCCUAUGGACGGGGAUAAUCUCGGGAAACUGAGCAUAAUACCCGGCAGACCACUUAUCCUGGAAUGGUUAGUGGUUAAAAUGAUUCGUCGCCAUAGGAUGGGACUGCGGCCUAUCAGCUUGUUGGUGAGGUAAUGGCCCACCAAGGCGAUUACAGGUACGGGCUCUGAGAGGAGAGGCCCGGAGAUGGGUACUGAGACAAGGACCCAGGCCCUAUGGGGCGCAGCAGGCGAGAAAACUUUGCAAUGUGCGAAAGCACGACAAGGUUAAUCCGAGUGAUUUCUGCUAAAGGAAUCUUUUGUUAGUUCUAAAAAUACUAGUGAAUAAGGGGUGGGCAAGUUCUGGUGUCAGCCGCCGCGGUAAAACCAGCACCUCAAGUGGUCAGGAGGAUUAUUGGGCCUAAAGCAUCCGUAGCCUGUUCUAUAAGUUUACGGUUAAAUCUAUACGCUCAACGUAUAGGCUGCCGUAAAUACUGUAGAACCAGGGAGUGGGAGAGGUAGACGGUACUCGAUAGGAAGGGGUAAAAUCCUUUGAUCUAUUGAUGACCACCUGUGGCGAAGGCGGUCUACCAGAACACGUUCGACGGUGAGGGAUGAAAGCUGGGGGAGCAAACCGGAUUAGAUACCCGGGUAGUCCCAGCUGUAAACGAUGCAGACUCGAUGAUGCAAUGGCAUAGAGCUAUUGCAGUAUCGCAGGGAAGCCGUUAAGUUUGCCGCCUGGGAAGUACGUACGCAAGUAUGAAACUUAAAGGAAUUGGCGGGGGAGCACCACAAGGGGUGAAGCCUGCGGCUCAAUUGGAGUCAACGCCGGAA
rnacentral:rRNA from 1 species